UUGAUCAUGGCUCAGAUUGAACGCUGGCGGCAGGCCUAACACAUGCAAGUCGAGCGGUAGAGAGAAGCUUGCUUCUCUUGAGAGCGGCGGACGGGUGAGUAAUGCCUAGGAAUCUGCCUGGUAGUGGGGGAUAACGUUCGGAAACGGACGCUAAUACCGCAUACGUCCUACGGGAGAAAGCAGGGGACCUUCGGGCCUUGCGCUAUCAGAUGAGCCUAGGUCGGAUUAGCUAGUUGGUGAGGUAAUGGCUCACCAAGGCGACGAUCCGUAACUGGUCUGAGAGGAUGAUCAGUCACACUGGAACUGAGACACGGUCCAGACUCCUACGGGAGGCAGCAGUGGGGAAUAUUGGACAAUGGGCGAAAGCCUGAUCCAGCCAUGCCGCGUGUGUGAAGAAGGUCUUCGGAUUGUAAAGCACUUUAAGUUGGGAGGAAGGGCAGUUACCUAAUACGUGAUUGUUUUGACGUUACCGACAGAAUAAGCACCGGCUAACU
rnacentral:rRNA from 1 species